GGUGGUAGUCACCUAUCAAUACCAGGACCUA
rnacentral:piRNA from 1 species